rnacentral:lncRNA from 1 species
GUCCAUGUAAAAAGUGGAGGACAACACAGGAAGUGACGCAAAAGAAAGUGUCUUUAAAAGGAAUUACAACUUCCUGUGAGAGUCAGUUUUUCAUUAUUUGGAGUGGAUACUGGUGGAGAACCUGCUGACUGGACAUGAGACCUGUUCCUGAACAUAACAAAGAACGCUAAUAAGAAUUUGAUAUCCAAUAUACAUUGGAAGAAAAUAAGGAAGUAUCCUGCAGUCUGCAAGAAUUCAAGUCAACUAUUCAAGGCCCAGAUAAAAUUUAAUCCAGUUUAUCUGGAACAACUGACAGAUGUGAUUAGUUAGCAACUUCAUCACUUGUUACUGUCUUCUGGAGAGGCUUUAGAGUUUACAAAAUACAAACCUCACAAGAACCUGGAGAUAGGCAAUAACCAGUUUUCUCUUCAGUCUGUCCCAGCAAAGAGCCUCAUGAAGAACAUUCUCAUGAACCAAGUUAAUGCCUGAAAACAUUCAGAACUGAGAAAGAAGCUGACUUAGUUUUCAGGCCAAUUAGAAGAUAAAAACUCAGCUCCUCCAUUCUCAAACCUUAGCAGCAUCCUCCAAUCUCAUUGUCUCUGUGUGUGCCACAACAAAAGACACCCAGGAAAACCGUGACAGUCUGUUUCUCAACUGCCAAGGACAGAUAAAAUUGGAACUACAUAAAUGUGACUCUCUGCUGCCACCAAGUGACAGUGAACACCUGUCCACAGGAUGGGAGAGCAGUCCAGUGGGACAAGGAGAAAUUCUAUCCAAAAUACAGGAUAGUGAUCAUGGCCAGAUAUUAAGAGGAAAUGGAUCUCAUUUUUGAAUUUUAGGUAAAGAAAGAUGCAAACUCUCUGAAUCCAGAACUGAACUGUUGGAGAAGCCACCAUGAAGAAGCCUCCAGACCACAAGCUGCACAAGAUCAAAUUGAACUUUGGGUGUGGUUGAUUGAACAUUUAUUUGUAUGUAUACUUUUAUGCCAAAGGGGACUGCCCCCUAACGGCUUUUUGUCAAUGCGUUCAGCAAUUAUUGGUUUUAUUCUUUUUUCUCUUAUCCUCACAUUAUUGUAAUCUUUUAAGUUUAUUAUGUUUUUAUGAUCCUUUUGGGGAAAAAUUAAUUUUUCCAAAAAUGAUCACAUGGAGAAUGUAAAAAAUAGACUCGAUUACAGGACUACAAUCCCCACGAGCCUUUGCUCCACUUCCCCAGAAUGCCUUGUAAUCUCACCUGGGCCAAGAUCAAGAAGGUAUUUAAGUUGAUUCAAAGGCUUUUGAGGGGCUCUCU